ACAUCCAGAGAAUUAGCAGAGAUGCUUUAGUGCCUUCGGGAACUCUGAGACAGGUGCUGCAUGGCUGUCGUCAGCUCGUGUUGUGAAAUGUUGGGUUAAGUCCCGNAACGAGCGCAACCCUUAUCCUUUGUUGCCAGCACGUAAUGGUGGGAACUCAAAGGAGACUGCCGGUGAUAAACCGGAGGAAGGUGGGGAUGACGUCAAGUCAUCAUGGCCCUUACGAGUAGGGCUACACACGUGCUACAAUGGCGCAUACAAAGAGAAGCGACCUCGCGAGAGCAAGCGGACCUCAUAAAGUGCGUCGUAGUCCGGAUUGGAGUCUGCAACUCGACUCCAUGAAGUCGGAAUCGCUAGUAAUCGUAAAUCAGAAUGUUACGGUGAAUACGUUCCCGGGCCUUGUACACACCGCCCGUCACACCAUGGGAGUGGGUUGCAAAAGAAGUAGAUAGCUUAACCUUCGGGAGGGCGUUUACCACUUUGUGAUUCAUGACUGGGGUGAAGUCGUAACAAGGUAGGCGUAGUGCU
rnacentral:rRNA from 1 species